UUCCGGUUGAUCCUGCCGGACCCGACUGCUAUUUGGGUGAGAAUAAGCCAUGCGAGUCGAAUGGGAUACCUAAAAUUCCCAUGGCAAACUGCUCAGUAACACAUGAUCAACUUACCCUAUAGAGAAAAAUAACCUCGGGAAACUGAGGAUAAUAUUUCAUAGUUGAAUCGGCUUGGAAAAGUUUUUCAAUAAAAGGGAUAAGAAAAAUGGUUCUUAUCUGCUAUAGGAUAGGAUCGUGGACGAUUAUGGUUGUUGGUGAGAUAACGGCUCACCAAGCCGAUAAUCGAUAGGGGCCGUGAGAGCGGGAGCCCCGAGAUGGGUACUGAGACAACGACCCAGGCCUUACGAGGCGCAGCAGGCGCGGAACCUCCGCAAUACACGGAAGUGUGACGGGGUUACCCAAAGUGUUCAAUUCUGAACUGUGGUAGGUGAGUAAUGUUCCCUAUUAGAAAGGAGAGGGCAAGGCUGGUGCCAGCCGCCGCGGUAAAACCAGCUCUUCAAGUGGUCGGGAUAAUUAUUGGGCUUAAAGUGUCCGUAGCCGGUUUAGUAAGUUCCUGGUAAAAUCGGGUAGCUUAACUAUCCGUAUGCUAGGAAUACUGCUAUACUAGAGGGCGGGAGAGGUCUGAGGUACUACAGGGGUAGGGGUGAAAUCUUAUAAUCCUUGUAGGACCACCAGUGGCGAAGGCGUCAGACUGGAACGCGCCUGACGGUGAGGGACGAAAGCCAGGGGAGCGAACCGGAUUAGAUACCCGGGUAGUCCUGGCCGUAAACGAUGCAUACUACGUGAUGGUACGGCCAUGAGCCGUAUCAGUGCCGUAGGGAAACCGUUAAGUGUGCCGCCUGGGAAGUACGGUCGCAAGGCUAAAACUUAAAGGAAUUGGCGGGGG
rnacentral:rRNA from 1 species